UACGGGGGGAGCAAGCGUUGUUCGGAUUUACUGGGCGUAAAGGGCGCGUAGGCGGCCCGUCAAGUCCCGUGUGAAAGCCCCCGGCUCAACCGGGGAACUGCACGGGAAACUAGCAGGCUUGAGUUCGGGAGAGGGAAGCGGAAUUUCGGGUGUAGCGGUGAAAUGCGCAGAUAUCUGGAGGAAUACCGGUGGCGAAGGCGGCAUCCUGGACCGACAUUGACGCUGAAUACCGAAAGCUAGGGGAGCAAAGCGGG
rnacentral:rRNA from 1 species